ACGCUCGACACCUACGGGAGGGCAGCAGUGGGGAAUAUUGCACAAUGGGGGAAACCCUGAUGCAGCAACGCCGCGUGAAGGAAGACGGUUUUCGGAUUGUAAACUUCUGUUCUUAGUGAAGAUAGUGACGGUAGCUAAGGAGCAAGCCACGGCUAACUACGUGCCGGCAGCCGCGGUAAUCUGAGCGGGCGUGGCGAAGGC
rnacentral:rRNA from 1 species